GACAAACGCUGGCGGCGUGCCUAACACAUGCAAGUCGAACGGAGACAGUAGCAAUACUGUCUUAGUGGCGGACGGGUGAGUAAUGCGUGAGCAAUCUGCCUUUCAGUGGGGGACAACAGUUGGAAACGGCUGCUAAUACCGCAUAAUGUAUUUUGAGGGCAUCCUUGAGAUACCAAAGAUUUAUCGCUGAAAGAUGAGCUCGCGUCUGAUUAGUUAGUUGGUGGGGUAACGGCCUACUAAGACUGCGAUCAGUAGCCGGACUGAGAGGUGGAACGGCCACAUUGGGACUGAGAUACGGCCCAGACUCCUACGGGAGGCAGCAGUGGGGAAUAUUGGGCAAUGGGGGAAACCCUGACCCAGCAACGCCGCGUGAAGGAAGAAGGCCUUCGGGUUGUAAACUUCUUUGACGAGGGACGAUAAUGACGGUACCUCGAAAACAAGCCACGGCUAACUACGUGCCAGCCGCCGCAGUAAAAC
rnacentral:rRNA from 1 species